GAUGAACGCUGGCGGCGUGCCUAAUACAUGCAAGUCGAGCGAACGGACGAGGCUCUUGCUUCUCUGAUGUUAGCGGCGGACGUGAGAGUAACACGUGGAUAACCUACCUAUAAGACUGAGAUAACUUCGGGAAACCGUAGCUAAUACCGGAUAAUAUUUUGAACCGCAUGGUUCAAAAGUGAAAGACGGUCUUGCUGUCACUUAUAGAUGGAUCCGCGCUGCAUUAGCUAGUUGGUAAGGUAACGGCUUACCAAGGCAACGAUGCAUAGCCGACCUGAGAGGGUGAUCGGCGACACUGGAACUGAGACGCGGUCCAGACUCCUACGGGAGGCAGCAGUAGGGAAUCUUCCGCAAAGGGCGAAAGCCUGACGGAGCAACGCCGCGUGAGUGAUGAAGGUCUUCGGAUCGUAAAACUCUGUUAUUAGGGAAGAACAUAUGUGUAAGUAACUGUGCACAUCUUGACGGUACCUAAUCAGAAAGCCACGGCUAACUACGUG
rnacentral:rRNA from 1 species